rnacentral:lncRNA from 1 species
GGUAUGAGUUUAUUAUUUUAAAGUAAAUAUUAAAAAGAAUGUAUAUUUAAAUUUUAAAUAAAAGGUCUUAAUAGAUAUUAUUAAAAUGUAAUUUUAGAAAAAGAUACUUAAGAAUAUCUUUUUUGAUAUCUUAUUUUGAAAAUAUUUAAAUAAUUGGUUAGAUGUGAUAUAUAUUUAAUAAUAUUGAUAAUUGAUCGAUUUUUUAUGGUUCAUAAUUUUAGAUUUAUCUGUACCAUGAAUAAAUUCCUAAAAUGGUUAAAAUCUACUAAUCCAUUCUGUAUUGGUAAAAUACUUUUGAGUUUGAUGAGCAGUCUCA